rnacentral:rRNA from 1 species
UACGGAGGGUGCGAGCGUUAUCCGGAUUCACUGGGUUUAAAGGGUGCGUAGGUGGGCAGGUAAGUCAGUGGUGAAAUCUCCGGGCUUAACCCGGAAACUGCCAUUGAUACUAUCUGUCUUGAAUACCGUGGAGGUGAGCGGAAUAUGUCAUGUAGCGGUGAAAUGCUUAGAUAUGACAUAGAACACCAAUUGCGAAGGCAGCUCACUACACGAAUAUUGACACUGAGGCACGAAAGCGUGGGGAUCAAACAGG